GGAUGUGAGGGCCAUCUGGCUGCGACAUCUGUCACCCCAUUGAUCGCCAGGGUUGAUUUGGCUGAGCUGGCUGGCUAGGCGGGUGUCCCCUUCCUGCUCUCUCUCCAGGUCC
rnacentral:snRNA from 1 species